AGAGGAGGUGUCCUCCCUCACUAGUCUCAGGCCAGUGGUGAAGAGGAGGUGUCCUCCCUCACUAGUCUCAGGCCAGUGGUGAAGAGGAGGCCAGUGGUGAAGAGGAGGUGUCCUCCCUCACUAGUCUCAGGCCAGUGGUGAAGAGGAGGUGUCCUCCCUCACUAGUCUCAGGCCAGUGGUGAAGAGGAGGCCAGUGGUGAAGAGGAGGUGUCCUCCCUCACUAGUCUCAGGCCAGUGGUGAAGAGGAG